UGUAGGAAAAUGGUUGUUUGUACCUACAUGACAAGAUGGAUGCCAGGAUGGGAAUUUACUAUAGUUUGACCUUUUGAUACUGCAGGCUGUGUUAGGCAUGAUGAGCGCGUGAUCGCCUCAUGCAAGGAAGGUGAUUGGUUCUUAUUGUAUGGCUUGAUAAUGGGGUGAUCCCCAUAUUUGGUGUUUGCCUUGCAUGAUGAUUGAUACACUGUUGUACUGUUCUUAAUAAAAAUGCUGGGCUGCAGCUCCAGAGAGCUUCUUUUUCUCUCUCUCUCCUGAGGCUGCUAGACCCUUUGCAAAAAAGCAUCCUGGUGUGAGACUGAUUUAUUUUUGUGACGAGCAGGCCCUCGUCAUCCCUGCCCUCGUCA